rnacentral:rRNA from 1 species
UACGUAGGGUGCAAGCGUUAAUCGGAAUUACUGGGCGUAAAGCGUGCGCAGGCGGUUAUGUAAGACAGGUGUGAAAUCCCCGGGCUUAACCUGGGAACUGCAUUUGUGACUGCAUAGCUAGAGUACGGUAGAGGGGGAUGGAAUUCCGCGUGUAGCAGUGAAAUGCGUAGAUAUGCGGAGGAACACCGAUGGCGAAGGCAAUCCCUGGACCUGUACUGACGCUCAUGCACGAAAGCGUGGGGAGCAAACAGG